GGGUUGUGAGGUUAAGCGACUAAGCGUACACGGUGGAUGCCCUGGCAGUCAGAGGCGAUGAAGGACGUGCUAAUCUGCGAAAAGCGUCGGUAAGGUGAUAUGAACCGUUAUAACCGGCGAUGUCCGAAUGGGGAAACCCAGUGCAAUUCGUUGCACUAUCGUUAACUGAAUACAUAGGUUAACGAGGCGAACCGGGGGAACUGAAACAUCUAAGUACCCCGAGGAAAAGAAAUCAACCGAGAUUCCCCCAGUAGCGGCGAGCGAACGGGGAGCAGCCCAGAGUCUGAAUCAGCUUGUGUGUUAGUGGAACGGUCUGGAAAGUCCGACGGUACAGGGUGAUAGUCCCGUACACCAAAAUGCACAGGCUGUGAACUCGAAGAGUAGGGCGGGACACGUGGUAUCCUGUCUGAAUAUGGGGGGACCAUCCUCCAAGGCUAAAUACUCCUGACUGACCGAUAGUGAACCAGUACCGUGAGGGAAAGGCGAAAAGAACCCCGGCGAGGGGAGUGAAAAAGAACCUGAAACCGUGUACGUACAAGCAGUGGGAGCACCUUCGGGUGUGACUGCGUACCUUUUGUAUAAUGGGUCAGCGACUUAUAUUCUGUAGCAAGGUUAACCGUAUAGGGGAGCCGCAGGGAAACCGAGUCUUAACUGGGCGUUAAGUUGCAGGGUAUAGACCCGAAACCCGGUGAUCUAGCCAUGGGCAGGUUGAAGGUUGGGUAACACUAACUGGAGGACCGAACCGACUAAUGUUGAAAAAUUAGCGGAUGACUUGUGGCUGGGGGUGAAAGGCCAAUCAAACCGGGAGAUAGCUGGUUCUCCCCGAAAGCUAUUUAGGUAGCGCCUCGUGAACUCAUCUUCGGGGGUAGAGCACUGUUUCGGCUAGGGGGUCAUCCCGACUUACCAACCCGAUGCAAACUACGAAUACCGAAGAAUGUUAUCACGGGAGACACACGGCGGGUGCUAACGUCCGUCGUGAAGAGGGAAACAACCCAGACCGCCAGCUAAGGUCCCAAAGUCAUGGUUAAGUGGGAAACGAUGUGGGAAGGCACAGACAGCCAGGAUGUUGGCUUAGAAGCAGCCAUCAUUUAAAGAAAGCGUAAUAGCUCACUGGUCGAGUCGGCCUGCGCGGAAGAUGUAACGGGGCUAAACCAUGCACCGAAGCUGCGGCAGCGACACUAUGUGUUGUUGGGUAGGGGAGCGUUCUGUAAGCCUGCGAAGGUGUGCUGUGAGGCAUGCUGGAGGUAUCAGAAGUGCGAAUGCUGACAUAAGUAACGAUAAAGCGGGUGAAAAGCCCGCUCGCCGGAAGACCAAGGGUUCCUGUCCAACGUUAAUCGGGGCAGGGUGAGUCGACCCCUAAGGCGAGGCCGAAAGGCGUAGUCGAUGGGAAACAGGUUAAUAUUCCUGUACUUGGUGUUACUGCGAAGGGGGGACGGAGAAGGCUAUGUUAGCCGGGCGACGGUUGUCCCGGUUUAAGCAUGUAGGCUGGUUGUCCAGGCAAAUCCGGAUAAUCAAGGCUGAGGUGUGAUGACGAGGCACUACGGUGCUGAAGUAACAAAUGCCCUGCUUCCAGGAAAAGCCUCUAAGCAUCAGGUAACAUCAAAUCGUACCCCAAACCGACACAGGUGGUCAGGUAGAGAAUACCAAGGCGCUUGAGAGAACUCGGGUGAAGGAACUAGGCAAAAUGGUGCCGUAACUUCGGGAGAAGGCACGCUGGUGUGUAGGUGAAGUCCCUGCGGAUGGAGCUGAGACCAGUCGAAGAUACCAGCUGGCUGCAACUGUUUAUUAAAAACACAGCACUGUGCAAACACGAAAGUGGACGUAUACGGUGUGACGCCUGCCCGGUGCCGGAAGGUUAAUUGAUGGGGUUAUCCGUAAGGAGAAGCUCUUGAUCGAAGCCCCGGUAAACGGCGGCCGUAACUAUAACGGUCCUAAGGUAGCGAAAUUCCUUGUCGGGUAAGUUCCGACCUGCACGAAUGGCGUAAUGAUGGCCAGGCUGUCUCCACCCGAGACUCAGUGAAAUUGAACUCGCUGUGAAGAUGCAGUGUACCCGCGGCAAGACGGAAAGACCCCGUGAACCUUUACUAUAGCUUGACACUGAACAUUGAGCCUUGAUGUGUAGGAUAGGUGGGAGGCUUUGAAGCGUGGACGCCAGUCUGCGUGGAGCCAACCUUGAAAUACCACCCUUUAAUGUUUGAUGUUCUAACGUUGGCCCCUUACCGGGGUUGCGGACAGUGUCUGGUGGGUAGUUUGACUGGGGCGGUCUCCUCCCAAAGCGUAACGGAGGAGCACGAAGGUUAGCUAAUCCUGGUCGGACAUCAGGAGGUUAGUGCAAUGGCAUAAGCUAGCUUGACUGCGAGCGUGACGGCGCGAGCAGGUGCGAAAGCAGGUCAUAGUGAUCCGGUGGUUCUGAAUGGAAGGGCCAUCGCUCAACGGAUAAAAGGUACUCCGGGGAUAACAGGCUGAUACCGCCCAAGAGUUCAUAUCGACGGCGGUGUUUGGCACCUCGAUGUCGGCUCAUCACAUCCUGGGGCUGAAGUAGGUCCCAAGGGUAUGGCUGUUCGCCAUUUAAAGUGGUACGCGAGCUGGGUUUAGAACGUCGUGAGACAGUUCGGUCCCUAUCUGCCGUGGGCGCUGGAGAAUUGAGGGGGGCUGCUCCUAGUACGAGAGGACCGGAGUGGACGCAUCACUGGUGUUCGGGUUGUCAUGCCAAUGGCACUGCCCGGUAGCUAAAUGCGGAAGAGAUAAGUGCUGAAAGCAUCUAAGCACGAAACUUGCCCCGAGAUGAGUUCUCCCUGAGACUAUAAGUCUCCUGAAGGAACGUUAAAGACGAUGACGUUGAUAGGCCGGGUGUGUAAGCGCAGCGAUGCGUUGAGCUAACCGGUACUAAUGAACCGUGAGGCUUAACCUUACAACGCCGAAG
rnacentral:rRNA from 1 species